GAAUCCCUGUGCUCACAGUGCUAUCCCUGGAUCAUAGCUAGCACACACAGUAACAAGUGGAUACCAAGAAAACAUAUAUCAUCUUUAUUAAUCAAUGACAAAUCCAGAGUUUUAAUUAUUACAAUCUGCACAGCUAUAGUGACUGGCUCAGUUUACAACGGAAGCAAAAUAAAGCAAAUAAAACUUGGGCUCCAUCAACGCCACAUGGCUUUAUUGAGUAUAGGCCCCGUGAACCCUGCGUCUUCACUCGUCAUCUGCACGUGAUAUGUAGCAGGUGAGUACAUGGAAUGUACUCGCAAGUUGCCAAGGGAAGUAUAACAAAUGUAUAUGCAUGGAUAAGGAAGAGAUGGCUGAGGGGUUCUUUUGCAUAAAGCCAAUUUUUGUUUCGCAAACAUUUUCGAAAGCCUUUUUUUUUAAAGGAUUUCUUAAGUCAAAACAAUCUUCCCAUGGUACAUCCCCAUGUCAAAAUACGAGCUAAACUGACUCCAGCCAAUCACUAGGUAGAGCCAGCUGCUUAGGCUUUUCGGGCAACCGCUAGUCAGAUGACAUAACUUGCCAAAACCUUUUUUUUUAAACACUUAGAAAACAGAGGAGAUCCUUCACUGGUUUCGAAUCUUCAGUCGCUCAAAUUGCUCAUAACCGGGAGCACGGCUAAUCGAUUAGAUUUCACUCUGCAGAGGUUGUACACUUUUCCCACAUGACACAAUCAGUCCAAAGUGUUGCCUAACGACAAGCGUGCGCAACAGGUAAAGAUUGUGGCGAGGUCUUUUGAUGGAGUCCCCCGUACAUAAUGCCAGCACGCCCACGACCCUGAUCCGAAGAACGCUCUCCUAGGGCCAUGCCAAUGCACGAGUUCUCAUCCACCUACUUGACCAAGCCAGAGCCCAUGUAGCAUGUGGUUGUACAGGAAACUUCUGGGAAUGAAACUUAAAAGGUUCUCUUUGUUCCUGGGCAGCGGUCCCCACCAAAAUCCUGAGCAUCCGCAGAGCCAAUCACUGGAUGCAGCUCUUGUAGACACCAAUCACUGGCUCUUAUCAUACCACUCCGCCCAGAGAAAAACAUUUUGGGUUUUGGUUUAGAAAAUACUUUUCACAAAACUGCCCCAUAAUGGGCUCAUAAUUUCAUAAAACCAUUUUAUCGAAAAGACCAUAACCCUUAUGCAAGCAUUGCUAAGUACAUAGAUUUUGUAAAGUAUAAAACAAGGCUACAAGGAUAAAUGGCAUGGAACCUAUGGCUAUCUACUAUUGGAUAUAGAAACAUAUAGCAUUUUCCUACACAUGCAUUUCUACAAAAAUAGAUAAAACAUGCAUAGCAAAAUAAUGGGAUAAAUAUGGUCAAAGCAACUUGCCUUCUGAGUACUCGCAGCAAGAAUCACACUCCUGAUAGCACUCCGCGUCACACUCCGUGCAAUCUAACGUUAAAAGAAACGAUACCGAAAUAAAUAAACAACUCCACAAGAACACGUUUUCGGUAUGCAUGCAUGAAACUCCAAACCAUUGUAAACACGUUCGAGUGCAAAGGUACUACUGAAGAAAAACUCCAAAACCAACAUAAGCAUAGUAAUAAUAAUUUGAUGGUUUCUCAACUACACCUAUUUAAUCUAAGCUUAGACCAACUUACUGUUCCAAUGUCUAAACAAGUGCUAGCAAAUUUUAUUGAAGAUUUACUGUUGCUAAAUAUCUUCACCGAGAGUUACACCAAAAAAAGGGGUUUGGUUUUAACUAGGUUAUGGGCAGAUUAGGCCGAAACUUAACCUGUAAUUACCACUGCAGCAAGUUUUUAGAAACUAGAAUCUAACAGGUUCAUUAAAUCCUACAUGUUCUAGGCUUUCCAGAAAGGUCUAACUUGCAAAGUUUGGAUUAACAAAUCAAAAGAUAUGCUUUUCAGAAGUUGACCAACCUAUACUAGAGGUGCUGUGAAUACAGUUUUCCAAAGAUCAUAUACUGGUGUGAACCGAUCUGAUGUUGUGCAACAAGUGAACUAAUGUUUGGACAAAGAUCUAUUCUACGCUCUAAAGGAGGUUUUACGCCAGCAGGUUCUACAAAACAGUCUAUACGAAUUCUAGAAGGUGACUACUGCAGAAGACACAUGCUGUGGAUAGCUAAUACCAACGAAGAUGCACUACAGGAGAUCAUGGAUACGGGGUAUCCCUAGUGAACUAAUCUGUAGAUAAAUGUUUGCCCUAACAAUAGCAGAAAGAAUUGGCUAAAAAUGUUCUACAGUUCAAGAGUUACAAGCUAUCGAAAAAGGCUAAUCAAAACUGCUCGUGCUGAGUGUUUCUAACCGGAGGAAGUUCGCCGGAGUUGAGGAAAACAGCGAGGGAAUGGGGCAGCGCUUGGGCGUAGCCAGUGGGGUGGCGAGGUGAGAAGAAAGGAGGACCUGGGCGCCUUUUAUAGGGGAAGGGGAGAGCAGGGUCGAGAGAUUAUCUCGUCGGAAUCAAUGGCUCUAGCCAUUAAUGGAGAGGAGAGCUGUGGGGAGACCGUUGUGCUGUAAUUUGGGAAACUGAGGAGGGGAUUGGGGAGAGGAGGCUCGUGGGAUUCGAUUCAGAGCACCUGGACGGGGAACGGUGAGGGAAGGUGAGGGGAGCCGGAGGAGAUUGCGCCGGCGACGGCGCUGUGCCUGUGUCUGUUCGUGCUCGUGCAGGAGGAGGAAGACGAGUGCCUGUGGGGGUUGG
rnacentral:lncRNA from 1 species